rnacentral:rRNA from 1 species
CCUACGGGAGGCAGCAGUGAGGAAUAUUGGUCAAUGGACGAGAGUCUGAACCAGCCAAGUAGCGUUAAGGAUGACUGCCCUAUGGGUUGUAAACUUCUUUUAUAUGGGAAUAAAACGUUCCACGUGUGGGAUUUUGUAUGUACCAUAUGAAUAAGGAUCGGCUAACUCCGUGCCAGCAGCCGCGGUAAUACGGAGGAUCCGAGCGUUAUCCGGAUUUAUUGGGUUUAAAGGGAGCGUAGGUGGAUUGUUAAGUCAGUUGUGAAAGUUUGCGGCUCAACCAUAAAAUUGCAGUUGAAACUGGCAGUCUUGAGUACAGUAGAGGUGGGCGGAAUUCGUGGUGUAGCGGUGAAAUGCUUAGAUAUCACGAAGAACUCCGAUUGCGAAGGCAGUUCACUGGACUGCAACUGACACUGAGGCUCGAAAGUGUGGGUAUCAAACAGGAUUAGAUACCCCUGUAGUC